rnacentral:rRNA from 1 species
GACGAACGCUGGCGGCGCGCCUAACACAUGCAAGUCGAACGAGCGAGAGAGAGCUUGCUUUCUCAAGCGAGUGGCGAACGGGUGAGUAACGCGUGAGGAACCUGCCUCAAAGAGGGGGACAACAGUUGGAAACGACUGCUAAUACCGCAUAAGCCCACAGGUCGGCAUCGACCAGAGGGAAAAGGAGCAAUCCGCUUUGAGAUGGCCUCGCGUCCGAUUAGCUAGUUGGUGAGGUAACGGCCCACCAAGGCAACGAGCGGUAGCCGGACUGAGAGGUUGAACGGCCAGGUUGGGAAUGAGACACGGCCCAGACUCCUACGGGAGGGAGCAGUGGGGAAUAUUGCACAAUGGGGGAAACCCUGAUGCAGCGACGCCGCGUGGAGGAAGAAGGUCUUCGGAUUGUAAACUCCUGUUGUUGAGGAAGAUAAUGACGGUACUCAACAAGGAAGUGACGGCUAACUACGUG